rnacentral:rRNA from 1 species
AUUGACCGCUGGCUGCAGGCCUACCACAUGCAAGUCGAGCGAGCGGCGGACGGGUGGGUAAUGUAUGGGGACUGCCCGAUAGAGGGGGAUAACUCCUGGAAACGGUAGCUAAUACCGCAUACUAUCGGAUAACCCAUAUGGGGUUAGCUAGUAGGUGAGGUAAUGGCUCACCGAGGCGACGAUCCCUCGCUGGUCUGAGAGGAUGAUCAUCCACACGGGGACUGAGACACGGCCCAGACUCCGACGGAGGCAGCAGUGGGGAAUAUUGCACAAUGGGCGCAAGCCUGAGGCAGCCAAGCCGCGUGUAGGAAGAAGGCCCUAGGGUUGGAAAGUACUUGCAGUCGGGAGGCGUUAACGACAGAAGAAGCACCGGCUAACUCCGUGCCAGCAGCCGCGGUAAUAC